rnacentral:rRNA from 1 species
ACUAAGCGUACACGGUGGAUGCCCUGGCAGUCAGAGGCGAUGAAGGACGUGCUAAUCUGCGAUAAGCGUCGGUAAGGUGAUAUGAACCGUUAUAACCGGCGAUUUCCGAAUGGGGAAACCCAGUGUGUUUCGACACACUAUCAUUAACUGAAUCCAUAGGUUAAUGAGGCGAACCGGGGGAACUGAAACAUCUAAGUACCCCGAGGAAAAGAAAUCAACCGAGAUUCCCCCAGUAGCGGCGAGCGAACGGGGAGCAGCCCAGAGCCUGAAUCAGUGUGUGUGUUAGUGGAAGCGUCUGGAAAGGCGCGCGAUACAGGGUGACAGCCCCGUACACAAAAAUGCACAUAUUGUGAGCUCGAUGAGUAGGGCGGGACACGUGGUAUCCUGUCUGAAUAUGGGGGGACCAUCCUCCAAGGCUAAAUACUCCUGACUGACCGAUAGUGAACCAGUACCGUGAGGGAAAGGCGAAAAGAACCCCGGCGAGGGGAGUGAAAAAGAACCUGAAACCGUGUACGUACAAGCAGUGGGAGCACGCUUCGGCGUGUGACUGCGUACCUUUUGUAUAAUGGGUCAGCGACUUAUAUUCUGUAGCAAGGUUAACCGAAUAGGGGAGCCGAAGGGAAACCGAGUCUUAACUGGGCGUUAAGUUGCAGGGUAUAGACCCGAAACCCGGUGAUCUAGCCAUGGGCAGGUUGAAGGUUGGGUAACACUAACUGGAGGACCGAACCGACUAAUGUUGAAAAAUUAGCGGAUGACUUGUGGCUGGGGGUGAAAGGCCAAUCAAACCGGGAGAUAGCUGGUUCUCCCCGAAAGCUAUUUAGGUAGCGCCUCGUGAAUUCAUCUCCGGGGGUAGAGCACUGUUUCGGCAAGGGGGUCAUCCCGACUUACCAACCCGAUGCAAACUGCGAAUACCGGAGAAUGUUAUCACGGGAGACACACGGCGGGUGCUAACGUCCGUCGUGAAGAGGGAAACAACCCAGACCGCCAGCUAAGGUCCCAAAGUCAUGGUUAAGUGGGAAACGAUGUGGGAAGGCCCAGACAGCCAGGAUGUUGGCUUAGAAGCAGCCAUCAUUUAAAGAAAGCGUAAUAGCUCACUGGUCGAGUCGGCCUGCGCGGAAGAUGUAACGGGGCUAAACCAUGCACCGAAGCUGCGGCAGCGACACUAUGUGUUGUUGGGUAGGGGAGCGUUCUGUAAGCCUGUGAAGGUGUACUGUGAGGUAUGCUGGAGGUAUCAGAAGUGCGAAUGCUGACAUAAGUAACGAUAAAGCGGGUGAAAAGCCCGCUCGCCGGAAGACCAAGGGUUCCUGUCCAACGUUAAUCGGGGCAGGGUGAGUCGACCCCUAAGGCGAGGCCGAAAGGCGUAGUCGAUGGGAAACAGGUUAAUAUUCCUGUACUUGGUGUUACUGCGAAGGGGGGACGGAGAAGGCUAUGUUGGCCGGGCGACGGUUGUCCCGGUUUAAGCGUGUAGGCUGGUUUUCCAGGCAAAUCCGGAAAAUCAAGGCUGAGGCGUGAUGACGAGGCACUACGGUGCUGAAGCAACAAAUGCCCUGCUUCCAGGAAAAGCCUCUAAGCAUCAGGUAACAUCAAAUCGUACCCCAAACCGACACAGGUGGUCAGGUAGAGAAUACCAAGGCGCUUGAGAGAACUCGGGUGAAGGAACUAGGCAAAAUGGUGCCGUAACUUCGGGAGAAGGCACGCUGAUAUGUAGGUGAAGUCCCUCGCGGAUGGAGCUGAAAUCAGUCGAAGAUACCAGCUGGCUGCAACUGUUUAUUAAAAACACAGCACUGUGCAAACACGAAAGUGGACGUAUACGGUGUGACGCCUGCCCGGUGCCGGAAGGUUAAUUGAUGGGGUCAGCGCAAGCGAAGCUCUUGAUCGAAGCCCCGGUAAACGGCGGCCGUAACUAUAACGGUCCUAAGGUAGCGAAAUUCCUUGUCGGGUAAGUUCCGACCUGCACGAAUGGCGUAAUGAUGGCCAGGCUGUCUCCACCCGAGACUCAGUGAAAUUGAACUCGCUGUGAAGAUGCAGUGUACCCGCGGCAAGACGGAAAGACCCCGUGAACCUUUACUAUAGCUUGACACUGAACAUUGAGCCUUGAUGUGUAGGAUAGGUGGGAGGCUUUGAAGUGUGGACGCCAGUCUGCAUGGAGCCGACCUUGAAAUACCACCCUUUAAUGUUUGAUGUUCUAACGUGGACCCGUGAUCCGGGUUGCGGACAGUGUCUGGUGGGUAGUUUGACUGGGGCGGUCUCCUCCUAAAGAGUAACGGAGGAGCACGAAGGUUGGCUAAUCCUGGUCGGACAUCAGGAGGUUAGUGCAAUGGCAUAAGCCAGCUUGACUGCGAGCGUGACGGCGCGAGCAGGUGCGAAAGCAGGUCAUAGUGAUCCGGUGGUUCUGAAUGGAAGGGCCAUCGCUCAACGGAUAAAAGGUACUCCGGGGAUAACAGGCUGAUACCGCCCAAGAGUUCAUAUCGACGGCGGUGUUUGGCACCUCGAUGUCGGCUCAUCACAUCCUGGGGCUGAAGUAGGUCCCAAGGGUAUGGCUGUUCGCCAUUUAAAGUGGUACGCGAGCUGGGUUUAGAACGUCGUGAGACAGUUCGGUCCCUAUCUGCCGUGGGCGCUGGAGAAUUGAGGGGGGCUGCUCCUAGUACGAGAGGACCGGAGUGGACGCAUCACUGGUGUUCGGGUUGUCAUGCCAAUGGCACUGCCCGGUAGCUAAAUGCGGAAGAGAUAAGUGCUGAAAGCAUCUAAGCACGAAACUUGCCCCGAGAUGAGUUCUCCCUGACCCUUUAAGGGUCCUGAAGGAACGUUGAAGACGACGACGUUGAUAGGCCGGGUGUGUAAGCGCAGCGAUGCGUUGAGCUAACCGGUACUAAUGAACCGUGAGGCUUAACC